AUAUCUGUCAAGUUAGAAACGUAAACAAACACGGACAACUGCCCGUAAAGAUUGUGUGCAGAAUAAUCGUGAAAUUUUAUGUGAAAACUCGAGAAAAGGAAAAACAUCAUUUCAUCCCGAAAUUUGGCAACAUUCGUCCGAGUAUGAUCGAGCAGCUGUGUGUGUGUGUGUAUGCCGACGAAAUACGACGCCGCUUCUACAACAAUCACUAAAGCCGGCUGUGAUCGUGAUCGGCACAUUCUCAACUGGACCAACACACCUGUCGUUGUGUAUCUUCAACCAAACCAACGUUGCCAUACACCACAAAAUGCAUGGAAAGGAAAGUAUUAUAAAAUAAUGUCAUAUUUGAAAGCAUUCUAAUCUUUCAUUGUUAUUUUUCCACUACAAACAGGAUAUUGGAUCACCGCAUCGACAAGUGGUUUUUAUGUGCAAGUGUUGUUAAGAAGUGUGUUGUACGGUGUAUUAUGUGUUUUACUUUAUUUGUAUCGCUUUGCAAGUGGUACAAUUAGUGCGUUUAAUCGUUGUGCUACUGCUAACGAAAAAACGAUCCGAGCAUUAGAAGCGGCAACAAUAAAUGUGCCUGACGCAGAGACAACAACGCCGUCGGCAUCCGUUGAUACCAUCCAAAGUGAUGGUUGAAAUCGUAUUUAAACGUGUAAAACCAUGUAUUGGGGCAUGUAAGUAUUGAAUAAUAGCUAAAUAAAAUACAUUUUAUCGUUGUACUGGACAAUGUGCAUCGAAAUUAAAAAAAAAAAAGUGUGUGUGUUUUUGUUUACAUCCGAAUACAGAACCCACAACGCUAUACUGUGGUUCGAGCACUCGCUAAGUAACGCUUGAGCUUUGAGCUUUCAUUGAGCUUACAUAGAAUGUUACACGCUACCUGCUCACUAAGGACUGCUAUCGAGCAGUGUUAUGAGCAGGUAGCGAGCAGUAACGCUUCCAUACAAAAAUCGCGAAACGUAACGCUCCAAUGCUAUUUGG